GUACGAUAAAGGCAAAACCAUUGAAAAGUGGUGACGCAAAGCUAGAGGGGCUUAUCUGUAAUCAGAAUGCCAGCCAGCUAUCGAA
rnacentral:ncRNA from 1 species